GCACAAGCGGUGGAUGAUGUGGUUUAAUUCGAUGCAACGCGAAAACCUUACCCACCCUUGACAUGUACGGAAGCCUUUAGAGAUAGAGGCGUGCUCGAAAGAGAGCCGUAACACAGGUGCUGCAUGGCUGUCGUCAGCUCGUGUCGUGAGAUGUUGGGUUAAGUCCCGCAACGAGCGCAACCCUUGUCAUUAGUUGCUACAUUCAGUUGGGCACCCUAAUGAGACUGCCGGUGACAAGCCGGAGGAAGGUGGGGAUGACGUCAAGUCCUCAUGGCCCUUAUAGGUGGGGCUACACACGUCAUACAAUGGCCGGUACAAGGGGUUGCCAACCCGCGAGGGGGAGCUAAUCCCAUAAAGCCAGUCGUAGUCCGGAUCGUAGUCUGCAACUCGACUACGUGAAGUCGGAAUCGCUAGUAAUCGUGGAUCAGAAUGUCACGGUGAAUACGUUCCCGGGUCUU
rnacentral:rRNA from 1 species